rnacentral:rRNA from 1 species
CACAAACUCUUUGAAAGUACUAGAAUGUAAUAUUGGGAUAUAAUAGAUCUAUAUACAAUUUUCAGCAACGGAUCUCUUGGCUCUCGCAUCGAUGAAAAACGCAGCGAAAUGCGAUAAGUAAUGUGAAUUGCAAAAUUCAGUGAAUCAUCCAAUCUUUGAACGCACCUUGCGCUCCUUGGUAUUCCGAGGAGAAUGCCUGUUUGAGUGUCAUGAAAUCUUCCACUUGCAACCUCUUUGCGGAUUUUGUAGGCUUGGACUUGGAGGGCUUGUUGGCCUUUAAUGGUCGGCUCCUCUUAAAUGCAUUACCUUGAUUCCUUGCGGAUCGGCUGUCGGUGUGAUAAAAUGUCUACCCCGUGACCGAGAAGCGUUUGGAUGACCUUCCAACCGUCUUGCUUCAAAGACAAGUUUUUAUGACCUCUGACCUCAAAUCAGGUAGGACUACCCGCUGAACUUAACCAUAUCAAUAAGCGAGAGGAAAAGAAACUAACAAGGAUUCCCCUAGUAACUGCGAGUGAAGCGGAAAAA